AUAAAAACUGUGAUAGGGAGUAGUAAGUUUGAAUAGGAUUCACAGAGAGUGGGAGAUAGCUGGGAGCCCAUAAUCUUUACAUUCUGAACUCGCCCUUGAGUUGUAGGCCGAACCUUUAGUAAGCCGAGCCGGCAUAGCCGUUAUUUAACUAAGAUACAAAUUUGGGUGGUACCGCGAAAGACUCUUCGCCCCAUUA
rnacentral:ncRNA from 1 species